UCCAAAAUAGUGGCAGAGCGAUGGACUGUAAUUGUGAUUAAAGUCAUCCACAGGUCGCCGGUUCAAAUCCGGCUCGAGGGA